UACGUAGGUGACAAGCGUUAUCCGGAAUUACUGGGCGUAAAGCGCACGCAGGCGGCGCGGUAAGUCUGAUGUGAAAUCUCCCGGCUUAACUGGGAGGGUCAUUGGAAACUGCCGAGCUUGAGGCGAUGAGAGGGGUGUAGAAUUCCCGGUGUAGUGGUGAAAUGCGUAGAUAUCGGGAGGAACACCAGUGGCGAAGGCGACUACCUGGCCUGUUCUUGACGCUGAGGCGCGAAAGCUAGGGGAGCAAACGGG
rnacentral:rRNA from 1 species